CGCGCAGGCGGUCCUUUAAGUCUGAUGUGAAAGCCCACGGCUCAACCGUGGAGGGUCAUUGGAAACUGGGGGACUUGAGUGCAGAAGAGGAAAGCGGAAUUCCACGUGUAGCGGUGAAAUGCGUAGAGAUGUGGAGGAACACCAGUGGCGAAGGCGGCUUUCUGGUCUGUAACUGACGCUGAGGCGCGAAAGCGUGGGAGCAAACA
rnacentral:rRNA from 1 species